AUACGGAGGGUGCAAGCGUUAUCCGGAUUUAUUGGGUUUAAAGGGUCCGCAGGCGGGAAAAUAAGUCAGUGGUGAAAGCCUACAGCUCAACUGUAGAACUGCCAUUGAUACUGUUUUUCUUGAGUAUAGAUGAAGUGGGCGGAAUAUAUCAUGUAGCGGUGAAAUGCAUAGAUAUGAUAUAGAACACCGAUUGCGAAGGCAGCUCACUAAACUAUUACUGACGCUCAGGGACGAAAGCGUGGGGAGCGAACAGGAUUAGAAACCCCAGUAGUCC
rnacentral:rRNA from 1 species